rnacentral:tRNA from 3 species
GACUGAUUAGCUCAACUGCACAGAGCAACAGUUUCCUAAACUGUAGGUUGAGGGUUGGAUUCCCUCAUCAGUCA